rnacentral:rRNA from 1 species
GAUGAACGCUAGCGGCAGGCUUAACACAUGCAAGUCGAGGGGCAGCACGUCUUCGGAUGGUGGCGACCGGCGCACGGGUGCGUAACGCGUAUAGAACCUACCUUUUACAGGGGAAUAGCCCAGAGAAAUUUGGAUUAAUGCCCCAUAGUAUUAUUGAAUGGCAUCAUUUAAUAAUUAAACAUUUAUGGGUAAAAGAUGGCUAUGCGUUCUAUUAGCUAGUAGGUAAGGUAACGGCUUACCUAGGCAACGAUAGAUAGGGGUCCUGAGAGGGAGAUCCCCCACACUGGUACUGAGACACGGACCAGACUCCUACGGGAGGCAGCAGUGAGGAAUAUUGGACAAUGGGCGCAAGCCUGAUCCAGCCAUGCCGCGUGCGGGAAGAAGGCCUCGGUUGUAACG